GAAAGAAAUAACAAAUUGCAACUAUACUACCAAAUUCUUUAAAAAAUUACAAAUAAAUAAUUAGAAAAAUCACUUUCUUUCCUUCUUUCUCUUCCAUCACCACUACCAUUCUCCACCACCACCACCACAUUUUACUGUCUCAGUCUUUUAUCAAAUUGAAAAAUGAUCCAAAGUUAGUGAUAUGUCUUGGAAUCUAAGGCCUAGCCUUCCACUUUUCUCUCCAGAAACGGGUGAUUUUUCCACCACGUCGUCGCCUUCACACCCAUCAGAAUUUCACCCGUCCACUGGCGCCAAUACUCCUUCAAUCCAUCACAACCAAAAAAUUACAUAAACGGUCAAAAAUUCGACUUAAAAUCAUCCCCCAAUAUACCAAGAACCGCAUGGCUUUUUUUACCAAUUCCGGCCAUUCCGUCGAUACCCACGGUCGUCCACUAUUGCCCGUCAAUCUACCUCAUGGGCAUUUCAAAAUCAGGUUCAUACUUCAAUAGGUAAGCAUCCCAUGGAUGAAUUGGUAUAACGAAGCAUUGUGGGCCCACGAAUUGUGGCCGAAAUUAGAUCAAUUUGGCUGUUAAUUGGGAAAAUUAAAUUCACAACAACUGUCAUGUGAUGAUGAUGAGGAUUAACAUUGCAAAUUAUGUGAAUCAACACCCUCAAACCUAUGAAUUGAAAGAGGUACACUGGCCACGUUCUGCGAGCAACAAAAGGGAAUUUCAAGUCAUACCAACAUCAUAUUGUACCCUUUUUGUGAUGUUUCUCCAUGAGUAUGGGCGGCAAGAUGAGGUGAAUUGACUAACAACAGUAGAUGACUACGGGUAUUGACGGAAUGGUCAGAAUUGGUAGAACUAGUUGGGGCUAAUUCUGAGUCGAAUUUGUGGCUAUUUAUGUAAUUGUUUCGUUGUUAUGAAUUGAGGGAAUAUUGGUGCCAAUGGAGGGGUAAAAUUCUGGUGGUUUUGGCAGUAGCAACACAGUCAAUUUUGGGGGAAUCGGAGGCGGCUCCAUAGCGAGGCAAAAUCAUCCCUUUCUAGAAAAAAGGGGAAGGCUAGGUCAUGAAUACCAGGACAUAUCAAUAAAUUUGGAUCAUUAUCAAAUUUUAUAGAAAAUUGAGGCAACAAAAGGUAGUGUAGUGUAGGUG
rnacentral:lncRNA from 1 species